rnacentral:rRNA from 1 species
CUUAAAUUGAAGAGUUUGAUCAUGGCUCAGAUUGAACGCUGGCGGCAGGCCUAACACAUGCAAGUC